UUGGAGGGCAAGUCUGGUGCCAGCAGCCGCGGUAAUUCCAGCUCCAAUAGCGUAUAUUAAAGUUGUUGCAGUUAAAAAGCUCGUAGUUGAAUUUCGGGAUUAAUUUAUCGGUCGUGCUUUUGUACGUACUGGUAUUAUUGAUUCCUACCUUCUGACGAACCAUGACGUCAUUAAUUUGGUGUCUUGGGGAAUCAGGACUGUUACUUUGAAAAAAUUAGAGUGUUUAAAGCAGGCUCACGCUUGAAUACAUUAGCAUGGAAUAACGAAAUAGGACGUUUGAUUCUAUUUUGUUGGUUUCWAGGAUCGACGUAAUGAUUAAUAGGGAUAGUUGGGGGCAUUAGUAUUCAAUUGUCAGAGGUGAAAUUCUUGGAUUUAUUGAAGACUAACUACUGCGAAAGCAUUUGCCAAGGAUGUUUUCAUUAAUCAAGAACGAAAGUUAGGGGAUCGAAGACGAUCAGAUACCGUCGUAGUCUUAACCAUAAACUAUGCCGACUAGGGAUCGGAUGAUGUUAAUUUUUUAAUGACUCAUUCGGCGCCUUACGGGAAAC
rnacentral:rRNA from 1 species